AUUGAACGCUGGCGGAAUGCUUUACACAUGCAAGUCGAACGGCAGCACGGGGGCAACCCUGGUGGCGAGUGGCGAACGGGUGAGUAAUACAUCGGAACGUGCCCAGUCGUGGGGGGUAACGUAGCGAAAGUUACGCUAAUACCGCAUACGAUCUACGGAUGAAAGCGGGGGACCGUAAGGCCUCGCGCGAUUGGAGCGGCCGAUGUCAGAUUAGGUAGUUGGUGAGGUAAAGGCUCACCAAGCCGACGAUCUGUAGCUGGUCUGAGAGGGCGACCAGCCACACUGGGACUGAGACACGGCCCAGACUCCUACGGGAGGCAGCAGUGGGGAAUUUUGGACAAUGGGCGCAAGCCUGAUCCAGCCAUUCCGCGUGCAGGACGAAGGCCUUCGGGUUGUAAACUGCUUUUGUACGGAACGAAAAGGCUCUGGUUAAUACCUGGGGCUCAUGACGGUACCGUAAGAAUAAGCACCGGCUAACUACGUGCCAGCAGCCGCGGUAA
rnacentral:rRNA from 1 species